GGUGGGAUGGCCGAGUGGUUAUGGCGCCAAGUUCAGGUAGAAAUAUCUUGGUUCCGCGAGGAGCGUGGGUUCGAGUCCCACUCCCAUCA